GGGCUUGUGGUUUAGUGGUAUAAUACUCCCUUAGCAUGAUUGCUUGAAUGGGAGUGGUCCGGGGUUCGAUUCCCCGCAAGUCCA
rnacentral:tRNA from 1 species